GUAGUUAGCCGGUGCUUUCUUGUUGGGUACCGUCAUUAUCGUCCCCAACGACAGGAGUUUACAAUCCGAAAACCUUCUUCCUCCACGCGGCGUCGCUGCAUCAGGGUUUCCCCCAUUGUGCAAUAUUCCCCACUGCUGCCUCCCGUAGGAGUCUGGACCGUGUCUCAGUUCCAGUGUGGCCGAUCAGCCUCUCAGCUCGGCUACCCAUCGCAGGCUUGGUGGGCUGUUAUCUCACCAACUACCUAAUGGGACGCGAACCCCUCCUUCAGCGGAUUGCUCCUUUGACCUCAUCCCGAUGCCGGGUCGUGGUCUUAUGCGGUAUUAGCACUUGUUUCCAGGUGUUAUCCCCCUCUGAAGGUCAGGUUGUUCACGCGUUACUCACCCGUUCGCCACUAGCUACACAACCGAAAUCGUGUAGCCCGUUCGACUUGCAUGUGUUAGGCACGCCGCCAGCGUUCGUCCUGAGCCAGAAUCGAACCCUGA
rnacentral:rRNA from 1 species